rnacentral:rRNA from 1 species
GACGAACGCUGGCGGCGUGCUUAACACAUGCAAGUCGAACGGAAAGGCCCUGCGUUUGUGGGGGGCUCGAGUGGCGAACGGGUGAGUAACACGUGAGUAACCUGCCCUUGACUUUGGGAUAACUUCAGGAAACUGGGGCUAAUACCGGAUAGGAGCUCCUGCUGCAUGGUGGGGGGUGGAAAGUUUCGGCGGUUGGGGAUGGACUCGCGGCUUAUCAGCUUGUUGGUGGGGUAGUGGCUUACCAAGGCUUUGACGGGUAGCCGGCCUGAGAGGGUGACCGGCCACAUUGGGACUGAGCUGCGGCCCAGACUCCUACGGGAGGCAGCAGUGGGGAAUAUUGCACAAUGGGCGGAAGCCUGAUGCAGCAACGCCGCGUGCGGGAUGACGGCCUUCGGGUUGUAAACCGCUUUCGCCUGUGACGAAGCGUGAGUGACGGUAAUGGGUAAAGAAGCACCGGCUAACUACGUG